rnacentral:rRNA from 1 species
GCGGGGCGGGGGGGUUGCGGCGGGGCCCCGGCGGCGGGGGAGGUCCCCCGCGGGGCCCGCGGGCCCACGGGGGCCCGGGCACCCGGGGGGCCGGCGGCGGCGGCGACUCUGGACGCGAGCCGGGCCCUUCCCGUGGAUCGCCCCAGCUGCGGCGGGCGUCGCGGCCGCACCCGGGGAGCCCGGCGGGCGCCGGCGCGCCCCGCCGCGCGCGCGCCGUGCGCGG